rnacentral:rRNA from 1 species
UACGGGGGGGGCAAGCGUUGUUCGGAAUUACUGGGCGUAAAGGGCUCGUAGGCGGCCAACUAAGUCAGACGUGAAAUCCCCCGGCUUAACCGGGGAACUGCGUCUGAUACUGGAUGGCUCGAGUUUGGGAGAGGGAUGCGGAAUUCCAGGUGUAGCGGUGAAAUGCGUAGAUAUCUGGAGGAACACCGGUGGCGAAGGCGGCAUCCUGGACCAACACUGACGCUGAGGAGCGAAAGCCAGGGGAGCGAACAGG